CCAGCCCGCUCAGAAACUCAAGGAAUUGACGGGGGCCCGCACAAGCGGUGGAGCAUGUGGUUUAAUUCGAUGAUACGCGAGGAACCUUACCUGGGCUCAAAUGUAUGUUGACGUAUUCUGAAAGGGAUACUUCUUCGGACAAUAUACAAGGUGCUGCAUGGUUGUCGUCAGCUCGUGCCGUGAGGUGUCGGGUUAAGUCCCAUAACGAGCGCAACCCCUAUCAUUAGUUGCCAUCAGGUCAAGCUGGGGACUCUAAUGAAACUGCCUACGCAAGUAGUGAGGAAGGUGGGGAUGACGUCAAAUCAGCACGGCCCUUACGUCCAGGGCUACACACGUGCUACAAUGGCCGGUACAAAGGGCAGCUACCUGGUGACAGGAUGCUAAUCUCCAAAGUCGGUCUCAGUUCGGAUCGGAGUCUGCAACCCGACUCCGUGAAGUUGGAUUCGCUAGUAAUCGCGCAUCAGCCAUGGCGCGGUGAAUACGUUCCCGGGCCUU
rnacentral:rRNA from 1 species